rnacentral:rRNA from 1 species
CCUACGGGAGGCAGCAGUGGGGGAUAUUGCACAAUGGGGGGAACCCUGAUGCAGCGACGCCGCGUGGGUGAAGAAGCGCCUCGGCGCGUAAAGCCCUGUCAGCAGGGAAGAAAAUGACGGUACCUGAAGAAGAAGCCCCGGCUAACUACGUGCCAGCAGCCGCGGUAAUACGUAGGGGGCAAGCGUUAUCCGGAUUUACUGGGUGUAAAGGGGGCGCAGACGGCGAUGCAAGCCAGGGGUGAAAGCCUGGGGCCCAACCCCGGGACUGCUCUUGGAACUGCGUGGCUGGAGUGCAGGAGGGGCAGGCGGAAUUCCUGGUGUAGCGGUGAAAUGCGUAGAUAUCAGGAGGAACACCGGUGGCGAAGGCGGCCUGCUGGACUGCAACUGACGUUGAGGCCCGAAAGCGUGGGGAGCAAACAGGAUUAGAUACCCGGGUAGUC